rnacentral:rRNA from 1 species
UACGUAGGGUGCGAGCGUUGUCCGGAAUUAUUGGGCGUAAAGGGCUCGUAGGCGGUUUGUCGCGUCUGCUGUGAAAACUCGGGGCUUAACUCCGGGCCUGCAGUGGGUACGGGCAGACUAGAGUGCGGUAGGGGAGACUGGAAUUCCUGGUGUAGCGGUGAAAUGCGCAGAUAUCGGGAGGAACACCUGUGGUGUAGACAGCUUACUGGACCACUUCUGACGCUGAGACACGAAAGCGUGGGUAGCAAACAGG